UAUACUUUAUUAUAUGAUGUAUAAAAAUUUUUGAUAUUUUAGGGAAUAGUUUGAAUCUAUUAAGUGUAA
rnacentral:tRNA from 1 species